rnacentral:rRNA from 1 species
GGACUACAAGGGUUUCUAAUCCUGUUUGCUCCCCACGCUUUCGUCCAUGAGUGUCAGAAACGUACCAGUAAGCUGCCUUCGCAUUUGGUGUUCUUCUCGAUAUCAACGCUUAUUACGACUACACCGAGAAUUCCGCUUACCUCUUCCGAUCUCUAGUCUAGUAGUAUCAAAGGCAGUCUCAACGUUAAGCGUUGAGUUUUAACCCCUGACUGGCUAGACCACCUGCGGACGCUUUACGCCCAAUAAAUCCGGAUAACGCUUGAGGUCUCUGUAUUACCGCGGCUGCUGGCAC